AUACGGAGGAUCCGAGCGUUAUCCGGAUUUAUUGGGUUUAAAGGGUGCGCAGGCGGCCAUUUAAGUCAGCGGUUAAAUCGUGGGGCUCAACCCCAUUCUGCCGUUGAUACUGGGUGGCUUGAUUGCGGUCGAGGUUGGCGGAAUUCGUUGUGUAGCGGUGAAAUGCAUAGAUAUGACGAAGAACACCGAUUGCGUAGGCAGCUGACCAGAACGCAAAUGACGCUCAUGCACGAAAGUGCGGGGAUCGAACAGGAUUAGAUACCCUUGUAGUCCGCACAGUAAACGAUGAAUACUUGUUUUCGGCGAUAUAAUGUCGGAGGCAAAGCGAAAGCGAUAAGUAUUCCACCUGGGGAGUACGCCGGCAACGGUGAAACUCAAAGGAAUUGACGGGG
rnacentral:rRNA from 1 species